CUGGUUCUUUCACUGUGGACAUCAUUCAAUUCUUCUACUUCCACGAGAACUCGUCGAAGAACAAACGCAAAGAUGAAACUCCUGGCUAUCUUCCUCUGCAUCGCGGUAGCUGUAGCCUCAGCCGAGGUCCACUGGGACGAGAACGGGCAGUACCGUCUGGUUGACACGGCGCCUUACACACUGGCCUUCAAGCCGGUCCCCAUGGUGGCGCCGAUAGCGAUGCGGGAGUUCACACCGUUCCUCUACAACUACAAGCAGAUCAGGAGCGGCGACGCUAAACUAUGAACUGAUGACGUGGUGAAAAUAAAUCACACUUCAAUUUGA